GACGAACGCUGGCGGCGUGCUUAACACAUGCAAGUCGAACGACGUGGCGCACGGGUGAGUAAUACGUGUGUAACCUGCCCUCCUUUUUGGGAUAAGCCUUGGAAACCGGGUCUAAUACCGAAUUAAGGGGGAUGGGCUCGGGGCCUAUCAGCUUGUUGGGGGGGUGAUGGCCUACCAAGGCGGUGACGGGUAGCCGGCGGGAGGGGGUGACCGGCGAAAUGGGGAAUGGGAUAGGGUCCAGACGCCUACGGGAGGGAGCAGUGGGGGAUAUUGCACAAUGGGCGGAAGCAGGAAGCAGCGACGCCGGGUGGGGGAUGAAGGCUUGCGGGUUGUAAACCUCUGUCGCGAUGGAAAGGGUAGGUGGAGAAGAAGCGCCGGCUAACUACGUGCCAGCAGCCGCGGUAAUAC
rnacentral:rRNA from 1 species